rnacentral:rRNA from 1 species
CACGGGGGGAGCAAGCGUUGUUCGGAAUCACUGGGCGUAAAGGGCGUGUAGGCGGUCAAGUAAGUGGGAUGUGAAACCCCUCGGCUUACCCGAGGAACUGCAUUCCAAACUGCUUGACUUGAGUAUGGGAGAGGAUGAGGGAAUUCCUGGUGUAGCGGUGAAAUGCGUAGAUAUCAGGAGGAACACCGGUGGCGAAAGCGCUCAUCUGGCCCAAUACUGACGCUGAGGCGCGAAAGCUAGGGGAGCAAACGGG